rnacentral:snRNA from 1 species
GAGACGUCGCUGCCGUGAUCGUG